GACGAACGCUGGCGGCGUGCUUAACACAUGCAAGUCGAGCGGUAAGGCCCUUUCGGGGGUACACGAGCGGCGAACGGGUGAGUAACACGUGGGUGACCUGCCCUCAGCUCUGGGAUAAGCCUGGGAAACCGGGUCUAAUACUGGAUAUGACUCCAUGACGCAUGUUGUGGGGUGGAAAGCCUUGUGCGGCUGAGGAUGGGCCCGCGGCCUAUCAGCUUGUUGGUGGGGUGANGGCCUACCAAGGCGACGACGGGUAGCCGGCCUGAGAGGGCGACCGGCCACACUGGGACUGAGACACGGCCCAGACUCCUACGGGAGGGCAGCAGUGGGGAAUCUUGCGCAAUGGGCGAAAGCCUGACGCAGCGACGCCGCGUGAGGGAUGACGGCC
rnacentral:rRNA from 1 species